GGUCAAAACACAAUUACUAGCCAACCAUGUGCCUAAUUUGGAGCAAAUGAUCUAGUGUACCAUACACUUGUCACUUUACUUUUAUUUGAUGCUAAUAAUUUCUUGAUUAUAAUUAAUUAACUAUUAUUGAUAGUGUGUUUUUUAGCACCAGCCAUUGAUUGGUUCAAGUAGAGGUCUAAAUUUUCUUGUCCUCUUCUAGUUUUGAUUAUACUUUUAACCAUAUGAAUAUUCAAAAUUUUCUUUUCUAUCACUUUUCUUCACAUUCAAAGGGAUAGUCAUUUUACAAAAGUUGGUGCUAAAAAUUAAAUGUAUAUCUGUCAUUUCCAAACCUGCCAUGGAAACAAACCGAGAAAAUAAGAUGGAGGAGAGAGAAAAUGAAAGAAAAGUAGGAGAGAAUCAAGAGUGUGACGCUUGUUUGGAAACAAAUACAUCUUUUCUAGCGGAGCUCAACCUCAUUCUCCUCACUUCAUUUUUCUCAUUAUCUGCAGAAGAAUGUCUAGAAUUUGAGGAGAGAGAAAAAGAGGAGAAUGACAAGUAUCAUGAAGAAAAGGACACCAUAUCAAGAUUGCAGACUAGAAGAAGAGGAAUAAAUCAUGAAUUCAAGGGCGUAGAACGACGAGCAACAAGAUUUCAAACAAAGAUAAGAGAUUGCAGGCACUGCAGAAGAAUGUGAGCAAGAAAAGAAAGGUAAUCCAAGAAGAUAAAGCAGCAUCAACAGGCUAUCUAAACAAAGAAGACCCAAAAUUGCUAUGUACACUAACUUUUUAUUAUUCUUAUAAAUGUAUGACUAGGUGAUUGAGAAUUGCAGUUUGUUAAUCUGCAAGUGUUAAUCACCACAUUCAUUGACCUUGUAAAAAUUACUAGGGCAUUUUUUGAGUGAACAAACCUACCUUCCAC